AGGGCACCACCAGGAGUGGAGCCUGCGGCUUAAUUUGACUCAACACGGGGAAACUCACCAGGUCCAGACACAAUAAGGAUUGACAGAUUGAGAGCUCUUUCUUGAUUUUGUGGGUGGUGGUGCAUGGCCGUUCUUAGUUGGUGGAGUGAUUUGUCUGCUUAAUUGCGAUAACGAACGAGACCUUAACCUACUAAAUAGUGAUGCUAGCAUUUGCUGGUUUUUCACUUCUUAGAGGGACUAUCGAUUUCAAGUCGAUGGAAGUUUGAGGCA
rnacentral:rRNA from 1 species